AGCGGGCGGCGUGCCUAACAUGCAGUCGAGCGGACAGAAGGGAGCUUGCUCCCUUAUGUUAGGGGAAGAGGGUGAGUAACACGUGGGUAACCUGCCUGUAAGACUGGGAUAACUCCGGGAAACCGGAGCUAAUACCGGAUAGUUCCUUGAACCGCAGGGUUCAAGGAUGAAAGACGGUUUCGGCUGUCAUUUACAAAUGGACCCCCGGCGCAUUACCUGGUUGGGGGGGUAAGGGCUCACCAAGGCAACAAUCCGUACCCAACCUGAGAGGGUGAUCGCCCACAGGGGGACUGAAACCCGCCCCAAACCCCUCGGGGGGGCCGCUAUGGGAACUCUCCCGCAGGGGACAAAUUUCUGAGGGACCCGCCCCCCGGGAGUAAAAAGGGUUUUGAAAGCAAAAAUCUCUUUUUUUGGGAAAAAACAUGGGAGAGAAAAUGCGCUCGCACCUUGACGGCCCCAACCGAAAACCCCGGGUAUAACUAUGUCCCAGCCCCCGGGAUAAUAUAUGUGGGACACGUUUUCCCGAAAAUAUUUUGGCGUAUAAGGGUCUCAAAACGCUUUUUCUAAUCUCAAAUGAAAACCCCCCGCUCUCCCGGGGGGGGGUCUUGGAAAUCGGAAACUUUUGUGAGCAAAAGGUGAGCGGGAAUUCCCAUGUUUGGGGAGAAAGGAGCAUAUAUGUAGGAGGAACACCCGUAGGGGAAGGCAGACUCUUUGGUUCGUACUAACCCUUAGAAACAAACCUGGGGAACAAAGUGAAUAAACGCCCGGUUAUCCCCCCCUUAACCAUUAAUGCUAAACGUUAGGGGGGUUUCCUCCCCCUUAUUGGUCGCACCUAAUCACUAGGCCUUCCCCCGGGGGGCUUACGGUCGCAAAACUGAAACUCAAAGGAUUUGGCGGGGCCCCCCAAAAGCGGAGGAAGGUUUGGUUUAUACCAACACCCAGAAAAUCUUAAUGGGUUUG
rnacentral:rRNA from 1 species